CGCCUGAGGUGGGAAUUGAAGCCAGGUCUCUGGCGCUGUGAGGCAGCAGUGCUAACCACUGUGCUACUUGGAGCUCAGGAAGAGAGGAGGAAACUGUGCAGAAUAGUAAGGAGAGGCAGAGAACCAGAUGCAGCCCUUCAAUCAUCACCACCCUGACUCCUGUGUAAGGGAUGGCACUGGAGAUCAGUGAAGUACCAAAGUGCAUAUCCUUUGGAGAUGAAGAGAUGGAGGUCUUCCAGAUACCUGCUGACAGUAUUAAAUACCACUGUUGCGCAUGCCACACAGUGUAUUUUAACUCUUAUAUCCAGCAAAAGAACUGACCUUCAAGCAUAAUGCUGGAGCUAGUGCAGGACAAGGCCGAGGAUUUAUCAGAGGAGGCUACAAACUCUAAGGAAAUACCAUCUCAUGACUCACACAUAACCUCCAAAUGCACACAUCUUAGUAGACUAGCAGCAUAUGGAGUUUGGUUGUCACAUGGCGCACCAUGAAUCACAUUAAGCAGGAGCAGGUGUUGGAAACAGGGUAUCAGUGCAGCAUCCCCAUCGUGGGUGCAGAUAUUAUUUCAAGCUUUGUUCAGCUCAACACAGAAGCUGAGCCUCAUGG